UGUAUCUCCUAUGUUGCUGUGAUUGUAGCUCUAACUCUUAGAGGGCUGUUUUGUUUAUAAAAUGUAUCUUACACUAGCAGAAGAUGUCAGCUUUCAACAAACCAAGAUGUAGAAGGGAAGUGUGAUCCCAAGCUGUUCCCAGAGGCACUGCUGUCUGACAGCUAUAUAAAAACAGCUCCUGAAUAACUAAAAUGGAGGUAUUUUGUAUUUUUUAAAAAUACAUCUGUUUUUAUGCUCAUUAUUAAUACUUUUUUUUUUUUUUUAACUAGCAGUUGUUUUUGGAUUUUGUUUUGUUUGGAGUUUUUUUGAGUGGGUUGGUUUGGGUUUUCUUAAUGCUCCAGAAAAGUUCAUCUUUAAUCAAAUACUAGGAAAGCCAUGUCUCAGGGAGGAUACACAACAAGGUGAGACCUAAAACCAGCCUGUGUUUAAUUAAUUCUAUGCUAAUGAAUAAGAAUAUGAUGAUUUAUAAGUACCUGUAAAGACUUUUUCUGUUUAACUAUAUUCAUUUCUUGAGAAUGCCUUUAGUGACCAUUUAGCAGUGUUCAAGUCCAUGUUGAGCAUCUGGCUCUUCUUUUUGAUUCAAGUGUUUGAUAUAUUAGUUUUUGGAUAGAAUCUUACAUGGAUUAGAUGAUCCAACCUUUUUAAAACUUCCUUUCUACUUAUUUCAGGGAGAAUUCAGGGAAAGUGAUGGUGAUGCUUUGAUAUCUGUUUCUUCUUCCUUUUCUUUUUCUUAUGUUUCUGCAACCAUCUGUUCUUUUUGAUCUAGUUUGAUGCCAGAAGGUUCUUACUCAGGGCAGAACUAGCUUUACAGACAAUACUGUGUCAUCCUUGCAUCAUCAUAGACAGAAUUGGAUUUUUGCACGGGAGUAACAUUUGCGCAAAAGUCUUCAACUGAAAGAAAAAAAGAUAUUGGGACUAAAGCCUGAAAGCUGUCCUUUCCCCUUAACUUCAAGAUCUUUUGCACACUAUCACCAUGAAAAUUUUAAUUUGUCUAGUAAAAUUAUUCUCAUAAAGGAGAAAAAACCAAUCUUGCAGGAAAAAAGUAAGAAGCCUUAGGUAAUGUGUAUUAACUUCUGGAAAGAGUUGUUGCCUUUGCAAGUAAAAUCCUGCUGAGUUUUACGUUGUUAGGAAAGAAUUAAUUCUUCAUCCUUAUUGCAACCAACAGGGAUUCC
rnacentral:lncRNA from 1 species